UACGUAGGUGGCAAGCGUUGUCCGGAUUUACUGGGCGUAAAGAGCGCGCAGGCGGUCGAUUAAGUCGAAUGUGAAAGCCCCGGCUCAACUGGGGAGGGUCAUUCGAUACUGAUCGACUUGAAGGCAGGAGAGAGAAGUGGAAUUCCCGGUGUAGUGGUGAAAUGCGUAGAUAUCGGGAGGAACACCGGUGGCGAAGGCGGUUCUCUGGGCCUUACCUGACGCUGAGGAGCGAAAGCAUGGGGAGCGAACAGG
rnacentral:rRNA from 1 species